GCCUGCCUAAAAUUAAUCCACAACAACAAGCGCCAGGGUAUUACGAGUGCAAACUUAAAAUCCAAAGGAUUUGACGGUGUCCCACCCACCUAGAGGAGCCUGUUCUAUAAUCGAUAAUCCUCGAUAUACCUCACCAUUUCUUGCUACUCAGUCUGUAUACCUCCGUCGCAAGCUUACCAUUUGAAUGCAAAAAAGUAAGUUUAAUGAUCAUUCAUCAACACGUCAGGUCAAGGUGCAACCAAUGAAACGGGAAGCAAUGGGCUACAAUUUCUAUAAUAGAACACACGAAAUACUACAUGAAAAUUAGUCAUGAAGGCGGAUUUAGUAGUAAAAGAAGAAUAGCAUGCUUCUUUUAACAAGGCUCUGGGACGUGUACAAACCGCCCGUCACCCUCUUCAAUGAUACAUUUUAAUUCAUAAUCCAUAAAAACACACUAGAAGAGGCAAGUCGUAACAUGGUAAGUGUACUGGAAAGUGCACUUGGCAAAUCAAAAUGUAGCUUAAAUAAAGCGCCUCGCUUACACCGAAAAAAUAUCUGUUUAACCCAGAUCAUUUUGAG
rnacentral:rRNA from 1 species